GGUGGCAAGCGUUGUCCGGAAUUAUUGGGCGUAAAGGGCUCGCAGGCGGUUUCUUAAGUCUGAUGUGAAAGCCCCCGGCUCAACCGGGGAGGGUCAUUGGAAACUGGGGAACUUGAGUGCAGAAGAGGAGAGUGGAAUUCCACGUGUAGCGGUGAAAUGCGUAAAGAUGUGGAGGAACACCAGUGGCGAAGGCGACUCUCUGGUCUGUAACUGACGCUGAGGAGCGAAAGCGUGGGGAGCGAACAGGAUUAGAUACCCUGGUAGUCCACGCCGUAAACGAUGAGUGCUAAGUGUUAGGGGGUUUCCGCCCCUUAGUGCUGCAGCUAACGCAUUAAGCACUCCGCCUGGGGAGUACGGUCGCAAGACUGAAACUCAAA
rnacentral:rRNA from 1 species